UACGUAGGGGCCUAGCGUUGUCCGGAAUUAUUGGGCGUUAAGGGCUCGUAGGCGGUCCAUCACGUCGGGAGUGAAAAGCUGGGGCUUAACCCCAGUCCUGCUUCCGAUACGGGUGGACUAGAGGUAGGCAGGGGAGAACGGAAUUCCUGGUGUAGCGGUGAAAUGCGCAGAUAUCAGGAGGAACACCGGUGGCGAAGGCGGUUCUCUGGGCCUUACCUGACGCUGAGGAGCGAAAGCGUGGGGAGCAAACAGG
rnacentral:rRNA from 1 species